rnacentral:rRNA from 1 species
CGUCUAUAUACGUAUAGCAUAUCAAUAAGCGGAGGAAAAGAAACUAACUAGGAUUCCCUCAGUAACGGCGAGUGAAGCGGGAAGAGCUCAAAUUUGAAAUCUUCAAGGUUCUACCUUGACGAAUUGUAGUUUAAAGAAGUGUUUUCUGUUGAAGUUUCGGUAAAAGUUCUUUGGAAUAGGACAUCAUAGAGGGUGAGAAUCCCGUAUUUGACCAUUAUUUCCAGCUGUGUGAUACACUUUCAAAUGAGUCGGAUUGUUUGGGAAUGCAGUCCAAAAUGGGUGGUAAAUUUCAUCUAAAGCUAAAUAUUGGCGAGAGACCGAUAGCGAACAAGUACCGUGAGGGAAAGAUGAAAAGAACUUUGAAAAGAGAGUUAAACAGUACGUGAAAUUGUCAAAAGGGAAGCGUUUGACACCAGUGUUGUUUUCUCGAAAAUCAAUUAAAAAUGGCAGGAUUUUGUGUUGUAUUGACUUUAUCAGCUUUCUGCACUUUUUUCUUGUCUUUUUUAAUGCACUUUUCGUUUAACAAGUCAACAUCAAUUUCUUUUGUUGUAAAAGGGUCAUUGGAAGGUGGCUUUCUUUUCGGAGAAAGUGUUUAUAGCCUUUGCCUCUGCAAUCGGAGAGAUUGAGGUCUGCAGCGUAGAUCCUUCGGGGUUAGAUGCAUUUGUGCUAAGUUAUAGCCUUUCAUAGACAACUUGUUGACUAUGAUCAGUCAUGUAGCUUACUCGCUUAUGUCUAUUUUACCUACGCUUAGGAUGUUGAUCUGUAGUGCGUGCGC